CGCGUCCUCGUUGAAGGAUCGUUUCUGGGGAUUUGAUUGAUAGCUAAGGAGAGAGAGAGAGAGAGAGAGAGAGAGAGAUCGAAGCGGUGAUGACAGGAGGAGUGCUCAAGCUCGUGAAGCCAAAGAUCCAAUCUGCGGAUAUCCAAGCCGCCGCAGGAUGGGGUAUCGCCGCCGCAGCCGGCGCCAUCUGGGUCGUCCAACCAUUUGAUUGGAUUAAGAAGACAUUCAUUGAUAAACCAGCAGCUGAAGACAAGUGAGUGAUCAAGAUCCAAGACAAAGUGAGAGAUUUUUUUUUUUCUUCCAGUUUUCAAGUUUGUUAUUGCAUCUUUGCGAUGUAGCUGAAUAAAUUUUUGGUUCUGUUCUGGGGACUUCUUGUUUCAUGACUUCAUUGUAGACAUUCUGUUUUCUCGAAUGUUAUAACACAAAGAAGCACAUUCCAAAUU